rnacentral:rRNA from 1 species
AUGUCUAUGAAAAUAGCUCGCAUAGUCCACAUAUCAUAUUCUUCAGUGCAUACCGCACCCUUCAGUUGCAGAGUCAGUUUCCACCAUCGAUCACUUGAUUACAGCCCAUUUGGAUGGCUGUGCUUAUGGCAUAAAAGAUACCCAAAACCUCUUGCAGAGUCAGUUUCCACCAUCGAUCACUUGAUUACAGCCCAUUUGGAUGGCUGUGCUUAUGGCAUAAAAGAUACCCAAAACCUCCGAAUGAAACGCAUCCGAGACUUGCUCCAGAAUUGUUGUUCCUUUCAGGAAGCGCCGUCCGUAUUGAUUUUCAAAAUUUCCGGUGGAGGCCUGGACCAUCUUUCCUUUUGCUGCUGCUUUUGCCUACCCCACCACCAUUUGCUCAACCUUAAAGAGAUGCAUAAAAAGAAAAUCAAUAGUAUGACAUAUUUCAUCAGAAGAUCUAAUAAAACGUCCUACAUUUGCUCUAUUCCUUUCAUGCCACCUACGCCAAAGAAAAGAAAGCAAGAUUUAAGCUUUCUUUCCUCGUUGAGGCUCAGGAUUUUCCCCAUACAACUCAAAACAUCUACACAUGACAGAACUGUAAUCUAA